GCGAAUGGUGGAUGCCUUGACUGGUAAAGGCGAUGAAGGACGUACUAGACUGCGAUAAGCUACGGGGAGCUGUCAAGAAGCUUUGAUCCGUAGAUUUCCGAAUGGGGCAACCCAAUGUAUAGAGAUAUACAUUACCUAUAUAGGAGCGAACGAGGGGAAUUGAAACAUCUUAGUACCCUCAGGAAAAGAAAUCAAUAGAGAUUGCGUCAGUAGCGGCGAGCGAAAGCGCAAGAGGGCAAACCCAGUGCUUGCACUGGGGGUUGUAGGACUGCAAUGUGCAAGAGGUAAGUUUAGCAGAACAUUCUGGAAAGUAUAACCAUAGAGGGUGAUAGUCCCGUAUGCGAAAAACAAACCUUAGCUAGCAGUAUCCUGAGUAGGGCGGGACACGAGGAAUCCUGUCUGAAUCCGGGUCGACCACGAUCCAACCCUAAAUACUAAUACCAGAUCGAUAGUGCACAAGUACCGUGAGGGAAAGGUGAAAAGAACUGAGGUGAUCAGAGUGAAAUAGAACCUGAAACCAUUUGCUUACAAUCAUUCAGAGCCCUAUGUAGCAAUACAGGGUGAUGGACUGCCUUUUGCAUAAUGAGCCUGCGAGUUGUGGUGUCUGGCAAGGUUAAGCAAACGCGAAGCCGUAGCGAAAGCGAGUCUGAAUAGGGCGCUUAGUCAGAUGCUGCAGACCCGAAACGAAGUGAUCUAUCCAUGAGCAAGUUGAAGCUAGUGUAAGAACUAGUGGAGGACUGAACCCAUAGGCGUUGAAAAGCCCCGGGAUGACUUGUGGAUAGGGGUGAAAGGCCAAUCAAACUUCGUGAUAGCUGGUUCUCUCCGAAAUAUAUUUAGGUAUAGCGUUGUGUCGUAAUAUAAGGGGGUAGAGCACUGAAUGGGCUAGGGCAUACACCAAUGUACCAAACCCUAUCAAACUCCGAAUACCUUAUAUGUAAUCACAGCAGUCAGGCGGCGAGUGAUAAAAUCCGUCGUCAAGAGGGAAACAACCCAGACUACCAGCUAAGGUCCCUAAAUCUUACUUAAGUGGAAAACGAUGUGAAGUUACUUAAACAACCAGGAGGUUGGCUUAGAAGCAGCCAUCCUUUAAAGAAAGCGUAAUAGCUCACUGGUCUAGUGAUUUUGCGCGGAAAAUAUAACGGGGCUAAAGUAAGUACCGAAGCUGUAGACUUGCACACAACUUAGAUUAUUUAAGUUUAGAAUAUGAGAAACUAAGUUAUAUGUUUAGUUAUAUUUUUACUGAUUUUUAUAGAGUAAAGAUAGAAAUAAAACUUAGUAAAAUCAGUAAAAAUAUUCUUAGACUAAAGUUAAGUAGUUUAAGUUGUGUGCAAGUGGUAGGAGAGCGUUCUAUUUGCGUCGAAGGUAUACCGGUAAGGAGUGCUGGAGCGAAUAGAAGUGAGCAUGCAGGCAUGAGUAGCGAUAAUUAAUGUGAGAAUCAUUAACGCCGUAAACCCAAGGUUUCCUACGCGAUGCUCGUCAUCGUAGGGUUAGUCGGGUCCUAAGUCGAGUCCGAAAGGGGUAGACGAUGGCAAAUUGGUUAAUAUUCCAAUACCAACAUUAGUGUGCGAUGGAAGGACGCUUAGGGCUAAGGGGGCUAGCGGAUGGAAGUGCU
rnacentral:rRNA from 1 species